rfam:Mustela putorius furo unplaced genomic scaffold scaffold00036, whole genome shotgun sequence.
GUCUACGGCCAUACCACCCUGAACGCGCCCGAUCUCGUCUGAUCUCGGAAGCUAAGCAGGGUCGGGCCUGGUUAAUACUUGAAUGGGAGAAAGUCACAAGCUCCUACCCUGUUGGUGGGAAGGCAACUUGGUGUAGCCA